UGAGGAAUAUUGGGUCAAUGGGGCGAGAGCCUGAACCAGCCAAGUAGCGUGCAGGACGACGGCCCUAUGGGUUGUAAACUGCUUUUAUGCGGGGAUAACGUGCACCACGUGUGGUGUAUUGCAGGUACCGCAUGAAUAAGGACCGGCUAAUUCCGUGCCAGCAGCCGCGGUAAUACGGAGGAUGCGAGCGUUAUCCGGAUUUAUUGGGUUUAAAGGGUGCGUAGGCGGACUUUCAAGUCAGCGGUAAAAUUUCCGGGCUUAACCUGGUUGUGCCGUUGAAACUGAGAGACUGGAGUGCGCUUGAGGUAGGCGGAAUGCGUUGUGUAGCGGUGAAAUGCAUAGAUAUGACGCAGAACUCCGAUUGCGAAGGCAGCUUACCAAAUCGCUACUGACGCUGAGGCACGAAAGCGUGGGGAUCGAACAGGGUUAGAUACCCUGGUAGU
rnacentral:rRNA from 1 species